AAAAAAGAAAGAAAGAAAGAAAAAGAAAAAGAACUAAAAAUGGCCUUUUAUAAACAGGAGAAAUUGGUGAGCGAGGGCUCUGAUUAUGGGACAAUUCAGUUUCUGCUGAUACUUUGUGUGUCCCUGCCUCCCCCAUCCCUCCUCUGGGCAGAAUGGAACGAGGAUUUCAUGGGCUUUUCAUGGCUCCCAGCAAGGUAAGUCUGGCAGGUGGUCUCCUUAUUUUACAGCAGAGAGAAGAUUCCCAGGGACUGGGGGGUCCUUGCUAGUAAAUGACAGCAGGGGACAUUGAAGCCAAGGUCCCCACUCCUGCUUCAUUCAGCAUGCCAGUGCCUUGUCCUCCAGAAGUAUGCCGCAGUACUUGGCCACGGUCUGUAUUAAUCAGUCCUUCAGGGUUUUCUGGAAAUGAUAAGAUGAUGGACUACAAUGUUCGGCUCCCUUGGCAAGUAUUCAGCACAUGAGAGCUAAAGUAAAAAUGAGCAACAAAGCAGUGGGCUAGGACCUGAGUGGAGGGAAAAACAAACAAAAUACCUAACCAGAUGACUCGAAGAUUCUGCUUCCUUCCUAAGAAGGGUUUCCUUUUCGUUCGGCUUUCCCCGACCUGGAGCACACAGCACUCACCCGCCGCGGGCCUUUCCCCUCCCGGGCUCAUCAGCCUGGGCUCCUGUGGCUUCUGUCUGCCCUCGCUUUGGUUUCGUUAGAAAUACACCUGCAUCCAAAGCUGAUUCCACCACUUUCCAGCUGUGAGACUUGGGACUUUCUGGUCCCUCUCCCUCCUUGCUAAAAUGUGGAUAAAAACCCCCAUCAGAGAGGCAUGCGAAGGGCCACAGGCUCCACGUGGGAAGCGGUGCCUUCUGAGGCCUGACCUGCUGCGCACAUGUUAAGGAGCUCUUCUGUGACGUGAUGAAAUGUGGACCAGAAGGAGGAAAGACAGGCGCACCUGUUGCUCACGUGCAGCAGUCUCCUCUGAGCACAAGAAAAGCCACACGGUUACUCCUGCCCAUGGGCCUCUCAAGAAGACAGGGAGCUGGGGAGACAGGUCCUUCUCAGCCUCCCCACACCUUCGUACUGAGAUCUUCUACCUGCAGUGCCUAAGCAUCCAAACCAACCUUCCUUGCAAGGGCUUGGGGACAUGUGUGCUGCUGCCUAGGCAGCCACUGACAAGCCACUGAUGGCUUUGACAUCCCUCACUCACAUCCACUUUGACCCCCCAGGGAAUUGGAGUGAGGGGUGCCUGGCUUCCUGCCCCCCCCUCCCCACUCAGGCAAUGCUACAUCUACUUUAGUAGAAGCCGCAGUAUCACUUCCAAGUCCCAACAGGCUCUAUUCGGGAAGCAGAAAGCCUGUCCCAAUGGUUGACACCUUCAGUCACCUGCUCCACAGAGCACACUUGUCACCCCUGUGACAGUCAUGUCUUCUGUGACCCGUAUCUUAGCAAGAGAUGGGGGGUAUGUUUGCUCAGAAAGCAAAACUCCAUUGUCACAAUCUGUAGAAGCUCCUGGAGGAAUCUCAUUGAGAGAAGAUGUCUUUUAAUCAGAGAGCCUUCAGUUGUUCCUUGUCCUUAAAAUCAGCAUUACGGUCUGAACUGUGUCCCUCACAAGGUGCUGUCAUGUCCAGUGGGAGUCUGGAGGGUAUUCUGGAGCCCUGCGAGGCAUUCUACAGGGUUGCUGGUCAGUCUCCAUCUCUAGAUCUCCUAGCCUAGAUGGAGGACUCAUUCCUCUUUGGACUUUCAUUUUCUAGCACAUUCCUGGUACAUAGGAAUAAAGAAUGAAUGAAUAAAUAAUGGGAUACAUGAAUAAAUAGGACUGUUUUUGUAAAAUACAGACAGCAUCCAAACAGGAGCAAGCUGACAUCCUUGACAAUCAAGAGAGACAGGACACAUUGCAGUCGUCAAUAUGCCUUACUAAUUGUGCACCUACUGUAUGCAGAACAUGUUGCAAAAAAAGGAAGUGGCUUCACCAGGUUCCUCUUGCAUAGUUUGGACAUAAGUUUUCCAAAAAUCAAUUUUCUAAGGCAUUUCUCUCACAUCAGUUUCUCGCUGUGGCCCAGGAGAAGGUGUCUCUGUAAUGUGUGUGUGAGGGAUAGGAGGGAGGCGGUGAGGAGAGAGACAUUGGAAUGUCACUCAUAAGCCUCUGGUGGAUUAAAUGAGGCGGGCUCUCAUUAAGCUCUUAGCUCACCUGAUUUGUUAUGCGAAAUGAACAUUGCCUGCUCUUUCCUCUCAUCGUGAGGGUGUCAGAUUUGUUCCCCAUGGAGACAUAGCCACAUACCCUGUUA